GCGCCAUGGGGCAGGUGGGCUGGAAGGGGCUCUACCAGUCGCUCUUCGACUACAAGACCGAGAAGUACGUCAUCGCCAAGAACAAGAAGGUGGGCCUGCUCUACCGGCUGCUGCAGCUCUCCAUCCUGACCUACCUGGUGGUCUGGGUGUUCCUGGUGAAGAAAUGUUACCAGGAUACCGACACGUCACUACAGAGCAGCAUCAUCACCAAAGUCAAGGGCGUGACUUUUACCAACACCUCAGAGCUGGGGGAGCGGCUCUGGGAUGUGGCAGACUAUGUCAUACCACCUCAGGGAGAGAACGUCUUCUUUGUAGUCACCAACCUGAUCGUGACCCCCAACCAGCGGCAGGAAACCUGUGCUGAGAGUGAAAGCAUUCCGGACGCCUCGUGCAAGGAGGACAGUGACUGCCCUCCAGGGGAGCCUGUUGUGGCUGGAAACGGAGUGAGGACUGGCCGCUGCCUGAGGGCUGAGGCUGCACCAAAGGGCACCUGUGAGAUCUUCGCCUGGUGCCCGGUGGAGACAAAGUCCAGGCCAGCGAAGCCACUCCUGGGCAAGGCUGAAGACUUCACCGUUUACAUAAAGAACUUCAUUCGCUUCCCCAAAUUCAACUUCUCCAAGACCAGUGUGCUGGACACCAAAGACAGAGCUUUCCUCAAGUCAUGUAAAUUUGGCCCCAAGGACCCCUACUGCCCCAUCUUCCGACUGGGGUCCGUGGUCAGCUGGACGGGGAGCAACUUCCAGGAGAUAGCUUUGCAGGGCGGUGUGAUAGGAAUUCAGAUUGAGUGGAACUGUGAUCUUGACAGAGCUCCCUCUGAAUGCAACCCGCAGUAUCACUUUAGCCGUCUGGACAACAGAUUUUCAGAAAACUCUGUCUCUUCUGGGUACAAUUUCAGGUUUGCCAAGUAUUACCGAGACACCGCUGGAGUGGAGUUCCGCACGCUGUUUAAGGCCUACGGGAUCCGCUUUGAUGUGAUGGUGAAUGGCAAGGCAGGGAAGUUCAGCAUCAUCCCCACAAUCAUCAACGUGGGCUCUGGGGUGGCGCUCAUGGGGGUGAGCCAGAAGGGCUUCUGUUUGUGGCUGGGGGUUCUCUGGGAUCCUGGGCAGCCUUGUCUCCACUUCUGCUAAAAAGAGGCGGGAUCUGGCUACUUCUGGGUUUCUCAGCCGUGGCCCUGUGACGUCUGGGGCCAGGUAAUCCUCUUUUUGUGGGGCCGUCCUGCACGCUGUAGGGGGCAGGCAGCACCCCCACCCUCACCCACCAGAUGCCGCAGCACCUCCGCCACAGCUGCUGUCACCGAACAUGAGUUCCUGUGCCCAGCACACAGUGAGGCCAAACUGAAGGAGUUUGGAGCAGAGUUUGGAGCAGAGAAAAGUUUACUGCAGGACCGAGCAAGGAGGACGGGUGGCUUGUACUCAAACCCUCCAAACUCCUUGAUGGUUUUUGGGGUGGAGUGAUUUACAUGCAAAAUUUGGGGUGAGGGCUGCAGGGUGUGUGACUUUCUUCUAAUGGGCUAGUGAGGUUACAGGGCCUGAGUUACCAUCCUCCCCCUGGGCGGGGGCCUUAGUUCCUGCAGAAGAACUCAAAGAUAGUCUUGUCUGUCCCUGCAGGAGGAACCAAGACCCUGCCCCAAGGCUACACUAUUGUUUCUUGACUCCUCCUCCUGUCUUUCUGCAUUUCCUCACUUCUCUGAGUAGCAAAUGUUCGAAUCUGCUCUUUGGAACUCAGGGAAGUAAUCUAGGAGGCUGAAUGAAGCCUAUUUCCUACACGAAAGGAACGGGGGACACAAAAAGGAUUUGUACGCGGGGGACCCUGCAGGGUCCUGCCUGGUUUUCAUCACGACAACCAAAAAUCUCUCCAGGCAUCAAUCUGCCCCUGGUUGCGAAUCAUGCAGCUAAGGAGACGAGAGGCAAGGAAAUUAGUCCUCCCUCAGAUCUGUCCCUUCAGCUGGGCUUCGAGGGGCCCACAGGAGAGGAAGUAGUGGCUGGAGGGGCAGGGAAGGAUUCCCCUGGAUCUCUUUCUUGUCCUUUUGUUUUUCUGGAAGUUUUUUAAAGACAGAGGAGUCAUCAGUGAGUGGCUUGUACCCACCCUAGGAGGCCCCUUACCAAGGUUUCUGGCAGCCUCACCCCGGGUUCCUCUGCCGGGCAGUCACAGCAGUCCCACUGGAGGCUUCUAGCAGGACCUAGGACUCCUGGAGACCAGGAAAACUGUCCUGUAGCAGGACUCAAAGAGGCCAUGCUCCUGAGAAGUGUGGUCAGUGGAUGAAAGUGUGCCCCAAAUGACCCCCCCUAACUGCAGACAGCAUUGUUGGGGAGCCCUGCAUGUUUGCAUGUGUAAAUUUCCUAGAGAAGGGCCCCUUCAGCUAUCACUUUCUUAUAACGUGGGUAAAUCAGAACACAGGGGCAUCUGGGGAACACCUGUGAAGUGAAGGUAACCGGGAAAAAGUGCUGGUAGAGGGUGGGUGGGGGUG